rnacentral:rRNA from 1 species
CCCACGCAGUAAAAAGAUGAGUGAUGAGUGUUAGAGGGUUACCGCCCUUUAGUGCUGCAGCAAACGCAUUAAGCACUCCGCCUGGGGAGUACGGUCGCAAGACUGAAACUCAAAGGAAUUGACGGGGGCCCGCACAAGCGGUGGAGCAUGUGGUUUAAUUUGAAGCAACGCGAAGAACCUUACCAGGUCUUGACAUCCUCUGACAACCCUAGAGAUAGGGCUUCCCCUUCGGGGGCAGAGUGACAGGUGGUGCAUGGUUGUCGUCAGCUCGUGUCGUGAGAUGUUGGGUUAAGUCCCGCAACGAGCGCAACCCUUGAUCUUAGUUGCCAGCAUUCAGUUGGGCACUCUAAGGUGACUGCCGGUGACAAACCGGAGGAAGGUGGGGAUGACGUCAAAUCAUCAUGCCCCUUAUGACCUGGGCUACACACGUGCUACAAUGGGCAGAACAAAGGGCAGCGAAGCCGCGAGGCUAAGCCAAUCCCACAAAUCUGUUCUCAGUUCGGAUCGCAGUCUGCAACUCGACUGCGUGAAGCUGGAAUCGCUAGUAAUCGCGGAUCAGCAUGCCGCGGUGAAUACGUUCCCGGGCCUUGUACACACCGCCCGUCACACCACGAGAGUUUGUAACACCCGAAGUCGGUGAGGUAACCUUUGGAGCCAGCCGCCGAAGGUGUACAUGAGCGGCG